ACAAUAAAAGAUCAGUUCAAAGUAAUGGCCCAAAUGAAAAAUUAAUCCAAAAACAUGAGAUGAAAGAAAAUUAAUCCCAAAACAACACAACACUACAUCAUAAUCAAAUAAACAAUAACAUUCUUAAUUUCUUAUCCACCAAAUAUACAUGCAAUUGACACCUAAGUCAGAAGAUCCACAAACUAUGCUCCAUCUUGGUGAUGAGGGAGUAUGGUGUGUUUGAUUCCUGGAAUAAACUCAGUGUUGUACCAGUUGAAAGCACUAGUAAUAUCAUUGGUUUUACCAAGUAUGAUUUACUUCUAAUUCGAAAGAGGCCCCGGCUGGUCUACACCAACAGUGAAUUAGAGAGGGAAGAUAAGUCUGUUUUAAUUGACCCCGAAACUUUACAUGAGAAUGAAAUUAGUAUUCCAGUUGAUAUCUAUUCAAAUUUAGCUACUCACAUGGAGAGCCUUGCUUUACUUGAUGGAGAAAAUGUGGUAGCUUACUAAGAUGAUGGUGCUAUGUUGUAUAAGAAGUGAUAUCAUUGCAGGUAUGGAUGAAUUGAAUCCCUUCUCUUGCUUUUCUUUGUUGCAAUAGGCUAGAGUUUAAUUUAAGAUGUGGGAGAGCUGCAAGAUUGAAAAGAAAGAAUGUUUUCUAGAGAGAGAAGCAAAACAGGAAUGCAACAAAGAGGAAGUGAACUCAAAGAUGGAAGGAGGUGAGAACUUUGAUCAGAUAAAUGGGAUAUCUUCUACAGAAAGCAUUGAUGAUGGUGGAAGCCCACCAUCAAAGCAGCAGCAACAUAAGAAGAAGAAGCCUAUGCACUGUUCAGAAAUUUUGGAUGCCUACUCAAGAAGAAGGGUACUAGCAGCCAUAAGUAGAGAAAUAGACCAGUUUGGCUUAACUUCUACCCUACUAGCAGGCAGCUAUAUUUGGUAUUAUUGCACCUAAAUGUUUUUACUUCAUUGUUUAUGUUCCCAGAAAACAGAUAGGUUAAAGAAAUGAAGAGGCUUGUAUUAUGUUUUUAGUUUUUUCUUCUAUUUCUUUUGCUUUUAAUGUGAUUCCUCACGUGGGACAGUAUCUUGUAUGUAAGGGAGAUUUUUUUUUACCUUCA